GUGGGUGCUUCCUGGAAUGGCGAAGCUAGGCAGUUUUGCCAGAAGUCGUUGCUGUGAGCAUCAGGGUUCAGAGUUGAGUCUUCAACACCAGACCUCUGCGAUGGGCUUCCGGAUUCGAGGCCCCGUCCCUUUCUCAGAAGUAUAUAGAAAGCUGCAUGGUGAAAUGAAUGGUGUCUGUUCCACUUCACAGUUUAUACCCAGCAUCUAACUCAGGACUUGGCACAUCACAGGAGCCUAAUAAAUAUCUG
rnacentral:lncRNA from 1 species